rnacentral:rRNA from 1 species
GGCGCGAGCAGGUGCGAAAGCAGGUCAUAGUGAUCCGGUGGUUCUGAAUGGAAGGGCCAUCGCUCAACGGAUAAAAGGUACUCCGGGGAUAACAGGCUGAUACCGCCCAAGAGUUCAUAUCGACGGCGGUGUUUGGCACCUCGAUGUCGGCUCAUCACAUCCUGGGGCUGAAGUAGGUCCCAAGGGUAUGGCUGUUCGCCAUUUAAAGUGGUACGCGAGCUGGGUUUAGAACGUCGUGAGACAGUUCGGUCCCUAUCUGCCGUGGGCGCUGGAGAACUGAGGGGGGCUGCUCCUAGUACGAGAGGACCGGAGUGGACGCAUCACUGGUGUUCGGGUUGUCAUGCCAAUGGCACUGCCCGGUAGCUAAAUGCGGAAGAGAUAAGUGCUGAAAGCAUCUAAGCACGAAACUUGCCCCGAGAUGAGUUCUCCCUGACUCCUUGAGAGUCCUGAAGGAACGUUGAAGACGACGACGUUGAUAGGCCGGGUGUGUAAGCGCAGCGAUGCGUUGAGCUAACCGGUACUAAUGAACCGUGAGGCUUAACCUUACAACGCCGAAG